UACGAAGGGGGCUAGCGUUGUUCGGAAUUACUGGGCGUAAAGCGCACGUAGGCGGCUUUGUAAGUUAGAGGUGAAAGCCCAGGGCUUAACCCUGGAAUUGCCUUUAAGACUGCAUCGCUAGAAUCGUGGAGAGGUGAGUGGAAUUCCGAGUGUAGAGGUGAAAUUCGUAGAUAUUCGGAAGAACACCAGUGGCGAAGGCGACUCACUGGACACGUAUUGACGCUGAGGAGCGAAAGCGUGGGGAGCAAACAGG
rnacentral:rRNA from 1 species